GACAGAGGUGCCAAGCGUUAGGCGGAAUCACUGGGCUUAAAGCGUGUGUAGGCGGAUCGUUAAGUGCUUUGUGAAAUCCCACGGCUCAACCGUGGAACUGCUUGGCAUACUGGCGAUCUUGAGCUGCCUAGGGGUCACUGGAACAAACGGUGGAGCGGUGAAAUGCGUAGAUAUCGUUUGGAACGCCCAAGGUGAAAACAGGUGACUGGGGGCAAGCUGACGCUGAGACACGAAAGCCAGGGGAGCAAACGGG
rnacentral:rRNA from 2 species